rnacentral:rRNA from 1 species
UACGAAGGGGGCUAGCGUUGCUCGGAAUCACUGGGCGUAAAGGGUGCGUAGGCGGGUCUUUAAGUCAGGGGUGAAAUCCUGGAGCUCAACUCCAGAACUGCCUUUGAUACUGAGGAUCUUGAGUUCGGGAGAGGUGAGUGGAACUGCGAGUGUAGAGGUGAAAUUCGUAGAUAUUCGCAAGAACACCAGUGGCGAAGGCGGCUCACUGGCCCGAUACUGACGCUGAGACACGAAGCGUGGGAGCAACAGG